AUUGGGACUGAGACACGGCCCAGACUCCUACGGGAGGCAGCAGUGGGGAAUAUUGCACAAUGGGGGAAACCCUGAUGCAGCGACGCCGCGUGGAGGAAGAAGGUCUUCGGAUUGUAAACUCCUGUUGUUGGGGAAGAUAAUGACGGUACCCAACAAGGAAGUGACGGCUAACUACGUGUCAGCAGCCGCGGUAAAACGUAGGUCACAAGCGUUGUCCGGAAUUACUGGGUGUAAAGGGAGCGCAGGCGGGAAGACAAGUUGGAAGUGAAAUCUAUGGGCUCAACCCAUAAACUGCUUUCAAAACUGUUUUUCUUGAGUAGUGCAGAGGUAGGCGGAAUUCCCGGUGUAGCGGUGGAAUGCGUAGAUAUCGGGAGGAACACCAGUGGCGAAGGCGGCCUACUGGGCACCAACUGACGCUGAGGCUCGAAAGUGUGGGUAGCAAACAGGAUUAGAUACCCUGGUAGUCCACACCGUANACGAUGAUUACUAGGUGUUGGAGGA
rnacentral:rRNA from 1 species